UUCAUGUGCAUAAGGUAUAAGUGCAUAGGAUUCAGGUAUGCAAGCACAAUGGUUCGAUUUUUAGAUCCAUUGCUCCAAUGAAAACCGAAUAUCAGAUCCAAUUAGAAUUGGAUAACAAGGAAGAAACAUGCCUAGAUAGAAAUGUAUUUCAAGCUGGCCAAUACUCCUGUUCUAUUUUCUAUUGAUUUCAUAAAAUUAGUAUCAUUGCUUAUUUUAGUAUAAAAAAAAAUACAAACUUUCAAUUGAUGAUGAGGACCAUUGUGUGAAUGUCUUGCAGGUAUUUUUUAUCACUAAUCUUGAACCAGUGAAGACGAUUGAAUUUGUAAACUCUACCAUUCUUACCUGCAGGUUUUAUGAAGGUGUUGUGCAACCUUAUAACCUAGAAAAGAAGAAACAUGUGAUACUAUAUGACGAUGGAGAUGUGGAAGUUUUUCAGUUAUAUAAGGAGCAGGGGGAGGUUAUCAGUGAAGGUUCCGAUCCUAGCAAGUGACUUAAAUCAUCAAAUGUUUCCCCAUCCAAAGGAAUGCUUGAGCAGCUGCAGAUGCUGUCAGUCCCGCUGAUAUGUGUUGCAACAAUUCGAGUAGCUUUGGAUGCAACAGGUUUCCCUGACGUGUCUAUCAUGUCGUGUACUACUAAGUAAUUCUUUUUCCAUUUCCUUAUGAUCAGACUGCAUGUUGGCUAAAUGUGUUAACAUUGCUCGGAUUUGUAAAAGAAAUAAAUGGGGAUUGAAGUCUAUAAUUGCAGAAGAAAUGAAAAAAGAAAAAAGAGAAAAGUGAAUCUAGCAAG